CAUCGUUCUCUGCCCUGAAAAAUUUGGAUCUCCACGUGGUUCCUCCAUCGUUAAGAGACAGCUGCAACACUAAAAAGAUUCUGUGAAGAACUUUUGAUUUUAAUUGGAAACUGUUAUCGGUUAUGGAGUAUUUGAUGACGAAAUCGGUGAAUACGAGAGGUUGAUUGGAAAGCGAUGUCGGAACUAGCGUCGGAUUGUAGGUUCAGUGACGGCGAUACGACAAGGUUUUAUAGAUCUGUAUCGUUGAGUAGAUUUUGGUCGAAGCAUCGCGAUGACGUUGGCUGCAAUUAACUCCAGAAGCAGGUGAUUGAUACGUAAGCCGUUUCAGAUCGCUUCACGUAUUAGGGAUUUUCAUUCGAUUUACUAAGAUGGACAAUCCCUUAUCGCAAUGGUACAUGUUUUAGAUUUAGUGAUAAGAGUCAUAUUUUGAUGGCCAAUUCAAAAUUAAAAUCUGAGAUGAAAAACCUAUGGGUAACCUGGUGAUUUAAAGCGCUUCUCAAACUUUAGUGAGUUGAACAUGCUCUAUUCUAUAGAGACGAAUCUGAGUGAUUUUGGGUGGCGGUUAUGAUACAAGGGAUGGUACAUUGGUUUAUAUUAUUUCCAGUAGUGAUAAAGAUCUACAGUUACGAACAUGGGUGUUGUCCCUCUCUGAUCCAAAUAUUUACUAUGGAAAACUAAAAGCAUACAUACAGAUAACUGUAAUUGAGAUUACAUUCUCCAUAAUACAAGGGAUACUUACGACUGGAGAUGAGGAAUAUGGAAAGUUUUACAAACCGUAUGCUACUUCAAUUGUACAAUUUCUAAAGAUAGCAAUAUGUGCUACGAGUGGCCUAGACUACUUUCAUAAUAAGAGAAUGGAUUCGUACAACCGUCAACCACGAGUACUUGCUGAUGUACGGAGGCAAUAUACGGGGUGCUGCUGGGCCUACGCAACCAUUGGUUGCAUAGAGGCAUUCAUGCAUAUAAUGAACCGUCCACAAAAUUUUACUCCUCUAAGCAUUCAACAGUUAGUUGAUUGCUAUGACGACUAUGAAAAUCCAGAAGCAGAAGGGGGCAAACCAUACGAUGCCUUUUAGUACAUUGCCUAUAAAAAUCAAGGAAGAGUGUAUAGCGAAACUCAUUAUCUCAGUAGGAAUGCUACAACCAAUGUUUACCAUCGACGGAUUCGAUGCGAUUGAGAAAGACGAGGGUCCCUUGAAGCCACCGUACGGUUACACCCUGUGACCGCAAGGGUCGCGUCUAAAAUCUUAAUAGAGAUACAUGAUCAGGCGAAUCAUAUUAUCCGUUAUGCUUGCUGAUGUCGACAAGAAUCGUAAACUUGAUCAUAGCGUUUUGAUAGCUGGCUAUGGGACAAGAAUCGUAAACUUGAUCAUAGCGUUUUGAUAACGUUUUGGUUUUACGAGUUCGUAGUUAAUCAAGUCAAGUCUUUUUGGGUCGGAUUCGGUGAUCGGGUCUUGGUUAAAAAGUACAUGGUAGAAGAGUUAGUCACUAUGUCUUUAGGAGAAAUUAUUUAUUUUAUUGUUUUUCAUGUAACCAUGUUGCUUUGUGAAUGCUAUUUAUAGCCAUUUACAUAGUAACCAUUUUUCCAUUCGAAACAGUAGCUUUCUUCCAUAUUUGAGAAUUGAAGCAGUAACAUAUUCGCGAGUUUGCGUGCUUUGUAUCUGGCUAUUUAUAGCCUUUCAUUGUGUAGGAUCUUGUUGUUGGGCCUACUCAACCAUUGGUUAUAUAGAGGCUGGCAUUAAUGCACAUAAUGAGUCGUUCACAAAAUUUUACUCGUUUAAGCGUUCAACAAAUAGUUGAUUGCUAUGACCAGUACGAAAAUGAGUUAGCAGAAAGGGGCAGACCACACCAUGCCUUUCGGUACAUAGCCUAUACGAAUCAAGGAAGAGUUUAUAGUGAAGCUGAUUAUCCGAGUAGGGAUGGUAACUAUAUCCGUAAGGGGGAAUGUACAACU